rnacentral:rRNA from 1 species
AUUGAACGCUGGCGGAAUGCUUUACACAUGCAAGUCGAACGGCAGCACGGACUUCCGUCUGGUGGCGAGUGGCGAACGGGUGAGUAAUGUAUCGGAACGUGCCCAGUCGUGGGGGAUAACGUAGUGAAAAUUACGCUAAUACCGCAUACGAUCUAUGGAUGAAAGCGGGGGAUCGCAAGACCUCGCGCGAUUGGAGCGGCCGAUAUGAGAUUAGGUAGUUGGUGGGGUAAAGGCACACCAAGCAAACGAUCUGUAGUUGGUCUGAGAGGACGACCAGCCACAAUGAAACUGAGACACGGGCCAGACUCCUACGGGAGGGAGCAGUGGGGAAUUUUGGACAAUGGGCGAAAGCCUGAUCCAGCCAGUCCGCGUGCAGGAUGAAGGCCCUCGGGUUGUAAACUGCUUUUGUACAGAACGAAAAGGUUUCUACUAAUACUAGGAGCUCAUGACGGUACUGUAAGAAUAAGCACCGGCUAACUACGUGCCAGCAGCCGCCGUAA